rnacentral:rRNA from 1 species
CCUACGGGCGGCAGCAGUAGGGAAUAUUGCUCAAUGGGGGAAACCCUGAAGCAGCAACGCCGCGUGGAGGAUGAAGGUUUUCGGAUUGUAAACUCCUUUUGUUAGAGAAGAGAAUGACGGUAUCUAACGAAUAAGCACCGGCUAACUCCGUGCCAGCAGCCGCGGUAAUACGGAGGGUGCAAGCGUUACUCGGAAUCAUUGGGCGUAAAGAGCGCGGAGGCGGGAUAGCAAGUCAGAUGUGAAAUCCUAUGGCUUAACCAUAGAACUGCAUUUGAAACGGUUAUUCUAGAGUAUGGGAGAGGUAGGUGGAAUUCUUGGUGUAGGGGUCAAAUCCGUCGAGAUCAAGAGGCAUACUCAUUGCGAAGGCGACCUGCUAGAACAUAACUGCCGCUGAUGCGCG